CCUACGGGCGGCUGCAGUGGGGAAUAUUGCACAAUGGGCGAAAGCCUGAUGCAGCAACGCCGCGUGAGCGAUGAAGGUCUUCGGGUCGUAAAGCUCUGUCCUCAAGGAAGAUAAUGACGGUACUUGAGGAGGAAGCCCCGGCUAACUACGUGCCAGCAGCCGCGGUAAUACGUAGGGGGCUAGCGUUAUCCGGAAUUACUGGGCGUAAAGGGUGCGUAGGUGGUUUCUUAAGUCAGAAGUGAAAGGCUACGGCUCAACCGUAGUAAGCUUUUGAAACUGAGAAACUUGAGUGCAGGAGAGGAGAGUAGAAUUCCUAGUGUAGCGGUGAAAUGCGUAGAUAUUAGGAGGAAUACCAGUUGCGAAGGCGGCUCUCUGGACUGUAACUGACACUGAGGCACGAAAGCGUGGGGAGCAAACAGGAUUAGAUACCCCAGUAGU
rnacentral:rRNA from 1 species